rnacentral:tRNA from 1 species
GGACUGUAGCUCAGCGGCAGAGUGCUUGCCUAGCAUGCGUGAAGCACUGGGUUUGAUCCUCAGCACCA